GUGUGUGUCUGCUAGUGUGUGUCUGCUAGUGAGUGUGUGUCUGUUAGUGAGUGUCUGUUAGUGAGUGUGUGCUUGCCUGUGAGUGUGUGUGUGUUUCAGUGAGUGUGUGUGUCUGUGAGUGAGUGAGUGUGUUUGUUUGUGUGUGUGUGUGUGUCUGACUGUGUGUGUAUGUUUGCCUAUGAGUGUGUCAGCGAGUGUGUGUGUCUGCUAGUGAGUGAGUGUGUGUCAGUGAGUGUGUGUUUCUGUUAGCUAGUGUAUGCGUAUCUGUCAGUGAAUGUGUGUGUGUAUUUAGAAGGCGGG